rnacentral:rRNA from 1 species
GAUGAACGCUAGCGGGAGGCCUAACACAUGCAAGCCGAGCGGUAUUGUUUCUUCGGAAAUGAGAGAGCGGCGUACGGGUGCGUAACACGUGUGCAACCUGCCUUUAUCUGGGGGAUAGCCUUUCGAAAGGAAGAUUAAUACUCCAUAAUAUAUUGAACGGCAUCGUUUAAUAUUGAAAGCUCCGGCGGAUAGAGAUGGGCACGCGCAAGAUUAGCUAGUUGGUGAGGUAACGGCUCACCAAGGCGAUGAUCUUUAGGGGGCCUGAGAGGGUGAUCCCCCACACUGGUACUGAGACACGGACCAGACUCCUACGGGAGGCAGCAGUGAGGAAUAUUGGUCAAUGGGUGCAAGCCUGAACCAGCCAUCCCGCGUGAAGGACGACUGCCCUAUGGGUUGUAAACUUCUUUUGGAUAGGGAUGAACCUACCCUCGAGAGGGUAGCUGAAGGUACUAUACGAAUAAGCACCGGCUAACUCCGUG